AAUGGUCAGAAAAAACAGAAAUAGCAGAAAUUCACCCGAAAUGGAGAAUAAAAUUGGCUCUUUUUUCCUUCAAUGGGAGAUUAUAGCCGCAAAUUAACUAUAAUUGUCGGGCAGGCCGAAGACCGAAUGUAGUUCGGAAUUUCUGAAACAAACAAAAUAAUCAUCCUAUUUUUGCAAUACUAAGCUCGUGCCGUGCCAAUCGGUACCAGCGUUUUUACGUCACAAAACCCACUGUUGCUGACAUACUUUACCAACUAUUACGAUAAGAAACUAAUAGAUUUUGGUAGUCGGCAUGAUAAUCUCUGAUGACCAGGAAGUUUUUUUUUUGUUAUAGUAAUUGUAAGAGACCAGAAUACAAAAGUUGCGUUGUAAUCUAGUUGUUGCCGAUUGAGAUCGCUGACUUGAAAAAAAUUGUUAGAGGGAAAAUAAAAGUGGAAUUGAUUUCGAAACAAGUGGAGCUGGUCAAUAAAACGUUUAAACGACAGUUAAAGAAGUGGUGUUGUGGAGUUUUCUGGAAAACAAAACUAUAAAAUUUGUGUUUUCAAUCUUUUGCAUUUUAUGAAACCACAGCUUCCAUUAAAUACAAUAUUUUCUGGAUGGAUUGUAAAUUUUUGGUACAGAACAUAUGUAUUUAUACAUCCUAUGUGACCAUGAUUGAUGUAUGUAAUUAAAUUACUUGAUUGAAACAAACGGAAACACACUGUCAAAAAUACAAAACCUAAAAAAAUACAAAACCAAAGAAACGUGUUUUCGUUCCAUUAUCUAAAAGUGUAGGAACCGUACUUCAAAAUAUUUGCAAUGAAUAAAAUAUCGUAAUGAGAAAAAACAAAUACAUUCUCUUAUAAUUUUAUUCUUUUGCUUAUAAUACAAAAGGAAUUUGCGUUUGAUUGUUAAAACAAUUGGGGUGCAGCUACAUUAAACAGCCAUAAUUGCAUUGAAUUGCGAAGAGGCAAUUUGGGCACCCCCGUUACAACAGGGAUCUUGACAGCUAUGCGAAAGUGUACAGAAGAUGACAUCCUCCCUGCCGUUCAAGUUCUUCUAAACGACACGAUGUUAUCGCUCUUCGUUUGUGAGUGCAUUCAGACAUUGUUCAUGGAUGGCUGCCGUUAUGAACAGGGAUUUUGGAAUGUGGCGGAAAAGAGAUGAAGAUGAUAAACACUACAUGUUGUUCGCUAGAUGUUUUUUCCUUUGAUAAAAAUUUCGACUUGAUCAGAUAAAAUGAUUGAUUAU
ensembl:lincRNA linc-103 ncRNA